GCUUUUAAUGUCAGUUGGUAGAACAUAAGACUCUUAAUCUCAGGGUUGUGGGUUUGAGCCCCCACAUUGAGCA
rnacentral:tRNA from 1 species